rnacentral:rRNA from 1 species
UACAGAGGCGGCAAGCGUUGUUCGGAAUUACUGGGCGUAAAGGGCGCGUAGGCGGCUUUUUAAGUCAGACGUGAAAUCCCCCGGCUUAACCUGGGAACUGCGUCUGAUACUGGGAAGCUUGAGUUCGGGAGAGGGAUGUAGAAUUCCAGGUGUAGCGGUGAAAUGCGUAGAUAUCUGGAGGAAUACCGGUGGCGAAGGCGGCAUCCUGGACCGAAACUGACGCUGAUGCGCGAAAGCUAGGGGAGCAAACGGG